rnacentral:rRNA from 1 species
CAAGUCGAACGGAGCUUAAGAGCUUGCUUUUUAAGCUUAGUGGCGAACGGGUGAGUAACGCGUGAGUAACCUGCCCUAGAUGGGGGACAACAGUUGGAAACGACUGCUAAUACCGCAUAAGCCCACGGUGCUGCAUGGCACUGCGGGAAAAGGAUUUAUUCGCUUCAGGAUGGACUCGCGUCCAAUUAGCUAGUUGGUGAGGUAACGGCCCACCAAGGCGACGAUUGGUAGCCGGACUGAGAGGUUGAACGGCCACAUUGGAACUGAGAAACGGUCCAAACUCC